rnacentral:rRNA from 1 species
AUUGAACGCUGGCGGCAGGCCUAACACAUGCAAGUCGAACGGUAACAGGAAGCAGCUUGCUGCUUUGCUGACGAGUGGCGGACGGGUGAGUAAUGUCUGGGAAACUGCCUGAUGGAGGGGGAUAACUACUGGAAACGGUAGCUAAUACCGCAUAACGUCGCAAGACCAAAGAGGGGGACCUUCGGGCCUCUUGCCAUCGGAUGUGCCCGGAUGGGAUUAGCUAGUAGGUGGGGUAACGGCUCACCUAGGCGACGAUCCCUAGCUGGUCUGAGAGGAUGACCAGCCACACUGGAACUGAGACACGGUCCAGACUCCUACGGGAGGCAGCAGUGGGGAAUAUUGCACAAUGGGCGCAAGCCUGAUGCAGCCAUGCCGCGUGUAUGAAGAAGGCCUUCGGGUUGUAAAGUACUUUCAACGGGGAGGAAGGGAGUAAAGUUAAUACCUUUGCUCAUUGACGUUACCCGCAGAAGAAGCACCGGCUAACUCCGUG